rnacentral:precursor_RNA from 8 species
GGCAAGACACCCAACCUAACGGCUUUGUGCUAAGGUGCAUCUAGUGCAGAUAGUGAAGUAGACUAGCACCUACUGCCCUAAGUGCUCCUUCUGGCACGAGGGUCUGUGACUUGCAUCCAUAUAUA